rnacentral:rRNA from 1 species
AGGAAGUAAGAUCCCUGAAAGAUGAUCAGGUUGAUAGGUCUGAGGUGGAAGUGUGGCGACACAUGGAGCUGACAGAUACUAAUCGAUCGAGGACUUAACCAAUUU